UGCGUAGGUGGUUUGUUAAGUCAGGCGUGAAAUCCCUGGGCUCAACCUGGGAACUGCGUUUGAUACUGGCAGACUCGAGUCUGGUAGAGGGUAGUGGAAUUCCGCAUGUAGCGGUGAAAUGCGUAGAUAUGCGGAGGAACAUCAGUGGCGAAGGCGGCUACCUGGACCAAGACUGACACUGAGGCACGAAAGCGUGGGGAUCAAACAGGAUUAGAUACCCUGGUAGUCCACGCCCUAAACGAUGGGUACUAGACGUUGGGAGGUUUAUCCUCUUGGUGUCGCAGCUAACGCAAUAAGUACCCCGCCUGGGGAGUACGGUCGCAAGAUUAAA
rnacentral:rRNA from 1 species